UACGAAGGGGGCUAGCGUUGCUCGGAAUCACUGGGCGUAAAGCGCACGUAGGCGGCUUGUUAAGUCCGGGGUGAAAUCCUGGAGCUCAACUCCAGAACUGCCUUUGAUACUGGCGAGCUUGAGUUCGGGAGAGGUGAGUGGAACUGCGAGUGUAGAGGUGAAAUUCGUAGAUAUUCGCAAGAACACCAGUGGCGAAGGCGGCUCACUGGCCCGAUACUGACGCUGAGGUGCGAAAGCGUGGGGAGCAAACAGG
rnacentral:rRNA from 1 species